CUCUGACCAGCCUUCAACCCGACAGAUAAUGGCAAACACACAAACUCUCCCUCAUAUGGCCGCCACAAGUCCCCCCACUGCUGGCCUCUCCUGACUCAAGGUCACUCUGGCCAGGGCCAGUGUGGUGUGAGAUAACAUUCUGGAUACCGCCCUGUGCCCCGCAGCAGGCUGUUCCCUGGGCCAGGCGCCCACCCACCCCUGGACUGUAUAUAUACACGCUUCCUGGAGACGUGGCCAAUCUGGGCCGGAACUUCGCAAGUGGAGGCUGAGAGCACACGCGCCUGACGGAGGUCUUGGGGUUGCCUGGGGGCUCAGAAGGAAGGCAAGGGGCAUCUAUUUUUCCAGCCCAGGGGGAUACAGCACUGGUCCAGAUGUCCUGCAGAGGAAGUAACAACUGGCUGGGCUGUCUUAACAGGCGCCAAGGAAAGAAACAGAAGCCAAAGGGGGUGGAAACUCGUCUCGUCUCGGGGGAGCGGACUUGAAUCAGGUCCCAGUUCUUGGGCUCACUCUCCAGCUCACUGGGUCCCUCUGACAGCACGCCUCAUCGUGCGCCCACAUCGGGGUUCUGUCCGCCAGGUGAGGCCGGCCCCUCCUUCGCUGGCACCCACACACAAUAUCCUGCUUCUGAUCUUCUGGUCAGCUCUUCACCCUCUCCACCCACCUCCACGCUGCAGUUCCCUGUCUGCGCCCCCCUGGGAGGCCUUGCCAAGUCACCAAAGACCACGGUACCCGCUCCUCCCUCAGCCUCCACUGAACCCGCAGACCACUCGACCUCACCCGUCGGUACUCCAGUGCUUGGUUUUCCCUGCCUGCUCUUCAGUAGUCGCCUGACCGCCUACUCAUGCACUGUUGACCUUCUCUGUGUGUCUGGCCCCCCAUCAGACUGGGAGUAUCAGGCCCUGGCAGGUGCAGUCAUGUCAGAUGUUGAUGAGCUCGACUGCCAAGCUGAGCGUUCAGGGCCUCAGCAGAGGACAAGCAGCAGGCUGUGCCCCCAGCUGGCUCUCGUAUCAGUCUCCAGAGCAUGACUCUCUGCCCUUCCUCCAUACCUCUGUGCUCGCACGGCCCCUGAAGAAGGGCAGCAGCUGGGACGCUGCCAGGCCAGCCCUGCUUCUGAGGCCCGGGUUUGCGGGAAGGACAGUAUGUCUGCUGUCUCCAUCUCUUCCAACCC